rnacentral:misc_RNA from 1 species
UGGGAGGGGGGCUUGCCCCCGAUGGCGGUGUAUCAGUCACUACCGCUAUCGGGGGCAAGCCCCCUCCCAC